rnacentral:tRNA from 1 species
GACGUUAGCUCAGUUGGUAGAGCAGCGGACUUUUAAUCCGUUGGUCGCAGGUUCGAAUCCUGCACGUC